rnacentral:rRNA from 1 species
UGAGUAACACGUAUCCAACCUGCCGUCUACUCUUGGACAGCCUUCUGAAAGGAAGAUUAAUACAAGAUGGCAUCAUGAGUCCGCAUGUUCACAUGAUUAAAGGUAUUCCGGUAGACGAUGGGGAUGCGUUCCAUUAGAUAGUAGGCGGGGUAACGGCCCACCUAGUCCUUGAUGGAUAGGGGUUCUGAGAGGAAGGUCCCCCACAUUGGAACUGAGACACGGUCCAA